rnacentral:rRNA from 1 species
AACGAACGCUGGCGGCAGGCCUAACACAUGCAAGUCGAGCGAGGACUUCGGUCAUAGCGGCGGACGGGUGAGUAACGCGUGGGAACGUGCCCUUUGCUUCGGAAUAGCCCUGGGAAACUGGGAGUAAUACCGGAUGAGCCCUUUGGGGGAAAGAUUUAUCGGCGAAGGAUCGGCCCGCGUUGGAUUAGGUAGUUGGUGGGGUAAUGGCCUAACAAGCCGACGAUCCAUAGCUGGUUUGAGAGGAUGAUCAGCCACACUGGGACUGAGACACGGCCCAGACUCCUACGGGAGGCAGCAGUGGGGAAUCUUAGACAAUGGGGGAAACCCUGAUCUAGCCAUGCAGCGUGAGCGAUGAAGGCCUUAGGGUUGUAAAGCGCUUUCAGCUGGGAAGAUAAUGACGGUACCAGCAGAAGAAGCCCCGGCUAACUCCGUG